rnacentral:rRNA from 1 species
UGGGGAAUUUUGGACAAUGGGCGCAAGCCUGAUCCAGCCAUGCCGCGUGAGUGAAGAAGGCCUUCGGGUUGUAAAGCUCUUUCGGUGGGGACGAAAAGGUUCGUGCUAAUACCACGGACUAAUGACGGUACCCGAAGAAGAAGCACCGGCUAACUACGUGCCAGCAGCCGCGGUAAUACGUAGGGUGCAGGCGUUAAUCGGAAUUACUGGGCGUAAAGCGUGCGCAGGCGGUUUGUUAAGACAGAUGUGAAAUCCCCGGGCUUAACCUGGGAACUGCGUUUGUAACUAGCAAGCUAGAGUGUGGCAGAGGGGGGUGGAAUUCCAAGUGUAGCAGUGAAAUGCGUAGAUAUUUGGAGGAACACCAAUGGCGAAGGCAGCCCCCUGGGUUAACACUGACGCUCAUGCACGAAAGCGUGGGGAGCAAACAGGAUUAGAUACCCCCGUAGUCC